rnacentral:snRNA from 1 species
GUGUUCACUUCAGCAGCACAAAUACCAAAAUCGGAGCAAUAUAGGAAAAAUGAACAUGCCUCCUGCACGAGAAUGACACAUGAAUUCCUGAGACAGUCCAUGUCUCU